AGUGUGCCGGGCCCACGGCCCGCGGGACAACGGCAGUUUGUUGGGGCCGCGUGGGGCCGCCACCUCCGGAGGUGGGGGCGGGGGCCUUACCCCACCCUGGCACCGGCAGGCGCGGGCGGAUGGGGGGAUGUCGCCUAGAGCCCCCCGGCCGGCCCACAAACUCCCGUCCCCCUUCCGGCUCUGCCUGGACGUCCCUGCGGGCCCCGGGGGAAAGCACCCAACUUCUCCCGCCUCGGCUUCUAGCAGAAACGUGACGGGGCUGGACUUUGAUCGCCGAGGGCUCUCUGCUCUUCAGAGUCUGCUUGGAACGGGAUAAAUGCAGCGCUCCCAGUUUAAGGAAAGUGCAGUUGGAGGCGGCGUGGGGCAGAGGGAGCCAGCCUCUGAACGAACUGCCCCAGGGUCGCGGAGAGGCGAGGCUGGAAAAGAAAGGUUGAGGAAGUCGGGGGACCUAGGCUGCCAGGACGCCCAAUAGCCUCCAGAGGUUCUGGUGGACCAGAGCCUGCGCACUCCGCCGAGAGCAUGCCCUUGGCUCAUCCAAUCAGAGCGGCGGAUCCAGGCGCCUGUCUGUCGCCUUGGCAACGGGACGCAUAAGCACGCGAGGCGCGCGGUGGCGGUUUGGAUCUGGCCCCUGGGGAAUCGCGUUAUGUCGCGACCGAAGAACCAAAAUUACAAGGGCCAUGGAUUGUCAAAGGGAAAAGAGCGAGAGCAGAGAGCAUCGAUCCGGUUCAAGACCACCCUCAUGAACACACUCAUGGACGUCCUUCGCCACAGGCCAGGAUGGGUGGAAGUGAAGGACGAAGGGGAGUGGGAUUUCUACUGGUGUGACGUCAGCUGGCUCCGGGAGAACUUCGACCACACCUACAUGGAUGAACAUGUGCGGAUCAGUCACUUCCGGAACCACUAUGAGCUGACCCGGAAGAACUACAUGGUGAAGAACCUGAAGCGGUUCCGGAAGCAGCUGGAGCGUGAGGCAGGAAAGCUGGAGGCAGCCAAGUGUGACUUCUUCCCCAAAACCUUUGAGAUGCCUUGCGAGUACCACCUGUUUGUAGAGGAGUUUCGCAAAAACCCAGGAAUCACCUGGAUCAUGAAGCCUGUAGCCCGGUCUCAAGGGAAAGGCAUCUUCCUCUUCCGUAGGCUGAAGGACAUCGUGGACUGGAGGAAGGACACAAGAAGCUCUGACGACCAGAAAGAUGAUAUUCCCGUGGAGAACUAUGUGGCUCAGCGUUACAUUGAAAAUCCUUACCUGAUAGGAGGCCGCAAGUUUGACCUGCGUGUCUAUGUGCUGGUGAUGUCGUACAUCCCGCUGCGGGCCUGGCUCUACCGGGAUGGCUUUGCCCGAUUCUCCAACACCCGCUUCACACUGAACAGCAUUGAUGACCAGUAUGUUCACCUCACCAACGUGGCUGUGCAAAAAACAUCUCCCGACUACCACCCAAAGAAGGGCUGCAAGUGGACGCUGCAGCGCUUCCGGCAGUACCUGGCGUCCAAACACGGGCCCGAGGCAGUGGAGACACUCUUCAGGGACAUCGACAACAUCUUUGUCAAAAGCCUGCAGAGUGUGCAGAAGGUGAUCAUCAGUGACAAGCACUGCUUCGAGCUGUACGGCUAUGACAUCCUCAUCGACCAGGACCUCAAGCCGUGGCUCCUGGAGGUCAAUGCGUCCCCAUCACUGACAGCCAGCAGCCAGGAAGACUAUGAGCUCAAGACCUGCCUCCUGGAAGACACCCUGCAUGUUGUGGACAUGGAAGCGAGAAGUUUGAGGGCUGAUUCUCCUUGCUGGUAACUGGGACACAUUCCCAUUCCUAAACCACUCACUGUGACUCUGCUUGACCAGGCUCACGGGAAGGGAGAAGCGAGUCGGGGGCUUUGACCUCAUGUGGAAUGAUGGCCCUGUUAGCAGAGAGGAGGGGGCUCCUGACCUGUCGGGAAUGGGAAACUUUGUGACCAACACACAUCUCGGCUGCGUCAACGAUCGGAAGAAACAACUGAGGCAGCUCUUCUGCUCCCUUCAAGUUCAGAAGAAAGCUUCCAGUUGAUCCCCAGCUGCCAGGAGGAAAUCAGCCUUAGCAGGUGCCACCCAGGCCUCCCCCCCACUCCCAGAUCCCAGCACAGCACCUCACAGCAUUCGCCUCCCCACCUCCAGCCUGGCACCAGCUUUGCUGGCUUAGCAGCUGCAGCUUACUACCUGAAUUGGGCCCCUUGGAUACCUCCAGCCCAUCCCCAGGCAUCUUUGCACCAGGAGACAGCCAAUCACUGGGACUGGGGGAGGUUUAACCUUGACAAACUGACUUGGCAGUUAGGCCCAAAGAGAACAAAUACAGCAAGUUCUGCUACCCCCAGGAGAUCAUAUCUAAUAAAUGAGCACAGGCCCUACUUGGAGUCACUGGGCACCAGGCCUGGUUCCGGGGAUACUGUUGGCUGCAGCCAAGUCCUCCUGGCUUUGACACUUGGAUACCUCCCAAGUCAGUGCUGAAAAGGUCCUUCAGGAGCAAGAGUUUGGAGGCUAAGGAACUCGUCUUUAAGCUGUGCUUACACAGCAAGCAGUUAUUAGAUUGUGUGUUUAUUGGGGGCCUGGGGAAGUACUGAGCCCUAAACACAUCCUCUUCUCCUUGCAUGUCAGGGGAGCCCAUGGGGCUCCCUGACCAUCAUCUGAAAACCAGUGGGACAGGGCAUCCCCAUUUCUCAGAUGGACAAGACAGACCAGGGAGGCAGAGCUUAGUGAGGGUCUCUGCAAAGGUGCAUUUAUCUAAGUCAGAUGGGUGACUUAAGUGCUUCUCUAGGCCUUGUGUUUGAGAUUGGGAGCUGAGCCAGAAACCGGAAAACCCUGGGCUCAUGGGCAGGACAGCUUCGGGAGUUGAGUGUGAGUAAAAAUCUGCCUUUUCACAUCUUACAUUGCUAAGCUUCCUCUUGGUUUAAGAGGGGUUGCAACAAGACUCGGGGCUGUUGGGGUAACUGUUCCAGGGGGGACUUACUCCCUCUACCACUCCGCCUGCUUCAGAGUAGUUUCUCUGGCUGCAAAUGGUUGAAUCUGCCUGCCUAGGUCAAGCCCGAAGGGAAGACUUUUGGAAGGAAAAUACUGGCAAAUCCAAGAAGUGAACCAGCCGACUUUAGGAAAGCCAGAAGCCAGGCUACUCUAGACCUUCUGCCUUCAGAGCAUGAGGACUUCUCCCACUCAUCCCUGUACCUGAGGCACACCAACCCAGACAGGUCCAGGCAUGGACUCCAGGUUCCCUAUUUCCAGAAGGAAUGCGAUUAGCUUUUUUUGGCCCAGCACCCACCCUGCCAGGGAGGAAGGGGCAAUUUUCCAGUGAUGAAAUUGUGAAUCAGGCAGUCACACUGGACAACAUCUAGCAAGGUGAAUUCUGCAACUCCCUACUUUAUUUACAUUUUAAAAUAAGCAAUAUAUUCAUACGGUUUAAAAUCCAAAGUUUACAAAAGGGUAUAGGGUGACAUCUCCUUCCCUCCCACCUGUGCGCCCCAACCCUGCAGGUGCUGUUCUGAGGGAAUCACACUGUGCUUGCACAAAAAUUAUUAGCUUAUAAGACACCAGCCUUCCCCUUGCUUUCCUCACUUGAUGUAUCUUGGAGCUUGUUCCUUAUUCUUGAUUAUAGUUGUAUGGUAUUGCACUAUCUGGAGCUAACACCUGUGACCCACACUCAUGUUUUAAAAGUUUCUGCAUUAGUCAAAAAUAUUUAAAAGGAGAUUCAACUUCACAACCCAUAUGUCUAGCUUCUCUUGAAAACACGUAAGAACUGGCCAUGACAGCCUGUGUUUCUAUGUAACUAUGAGCCAGAGCCAAGGAGCGGGGGGACCAGGAGAGGUGUGCCCCUGCCAUGCUGCCAUUUGUUAUCACCCGCCUGUCAAAUCACAGGUUUAUUUCAAGGCAAGAACCAUGUUCAUAGGUUGUAUUCUAAAUGGAGUGGCGUGCCCUUACUGAAGGACUAGAUGAGGCAAAUAAAGACUAGUUGCUGCUAUUCAUUCAUUCAGCUAACAUUUAUUGAGCCCUUAAUGAACA